AACAGACUCCCUCUGUCCGGAAAUACUCGUUAUUAAAAUGGACUAAAGGGGAUAUAUCUAGAACUAAAAUAUGUCUAGAUACAUUCCUUUUUAUCCAUUCUGAUGACAAGUAUUUCCGGACAAAGGGAGUAUUAU
rfam:Triticum urartu cultivar G1812 contig1133464, whole genome shotgun sequence.